rnacentral:rRNA from 1 species
CAGACGAUGCGUCAUGCAUAUCAAUAAGCGGAGGAAAAGAAACUAACAAGGAUUCCCCUAGUAACGGCGAGUGAAGCGGGAAGAGCUCAAAUUUGAAAUCUUAAAGGGUUUCCCUUUACGAAUUGUAGUUUAAAGAAGUGUUUUCUGUUGAGGUUUUGGUAAAAGUUCUUUGGAAUAGGACAUCAUAGAGGGUGAGAAUCCCGUAUUUGACCUUUACUUUCAACUUUGUGAUACACCUUCAAAGAGUCGGAUUGUUUGGGAAUGCAGUCCAAAAUGGGUGGUAAAUUUCAUCUAAAGCUAAAUAUUGGCGAGAGACCGAUAGCGAACAAGUACCGUGAGGGAAAGAUGAAAAGAACUUUGAAAAGAGAGUUAAACAGUACGUGAAAUUGUCAAAAGGGAAGCGUUUGACACCAGUGUUGUUUUUCUGAAAAUCAAUUAAAGAACUGUUUAUGCUAAGCUGGUUAGACUUUAUCAGCUAUCUGUUUAGUUUUGAGCUUUUCUUUAAUGCACUUUUCAGUUAACAAGUCAACAUCAAUUUCUUUUGCUGUAAAAAAGCUUGAGGAAGGUGGCUUGAGAUUCGUCUUAAGUGUUUAUAGCCUCUUGCCUAUGCAGUCGGAGAGAUUGAGGUCUGCAGCGUAGAUCCUUCGGGGCUAAAUGCAUUUGUGCUAAGUUAUAGCAUUUUAUAGACAACUUGUUGACUAUGAUUUGUCUUGUAGCUUACUCGCUUAUGUUAUUUUACCUACGCUUAGGAUGUUGACACACGCGCGUGCUCG